rnacentral:rRNA from 1 species
GCAAGUCGAGCGGACAGAUGGGAGCUUGCUCCCUGAUGUUAGCGGCGGACGGGUGAGUAACACGUGGGUAACCUGCCUGUAAGACUGGGAUAACUCCGGGAAACCGGGGCUAAUACCGGAUGGUUGUUUGAACCGCAUGGUUCAAACAUAAAAGGUGGCUUCGGCUACCACUUACAGAUGGACCCGCGGCGCAUUAGCUAGUUGGUGAGGUAACGGCUCACCAAGGCAACGAUGCGUAGCCGACCUGAGAGGGUGAUCGGCCACACUGGGACUGAGACACGGCCCAGACUCCUACGGGAGGCAGCAGUAGGGAAUCUUCCGCAAUGGACGAAAGUCUGACGGAGCAACGCCGCGUGAGUGAUGAAGGUUUUCGGAUCGUAAAGCUCUGUUGUUAGGGAAGAACAAGUACCGUUCGAAUAGGGCGGUACCUUGACGGUACCUAACCAGAAAGCCACGGCUAACUACGUGCCAGCC